UUUUAAAUGGCCGCAGUAUUUUGACUGUGCAAAGGUAGCAUAAUCAUUAGUUUUUUAAUUAAAAGCUUGUAUGAAAGGCUGGACGAGGUAAAAUCUGUCUCUAUUUAAAUUAUAGUAGAAUUUAACUUUUAAGUUAAAAGGCUUAAAUAUUAUUAAAAGACGAGAAGACCCUAUAGAUCUUUAUAGUUUAUUAAAUUAAAUUAAUUUAGAAAUGUUAAUGUUUUAUUUAAUUAAGUUAUUUUAUUGGGGUAAUAAAAAGAUUGAAUUAAUUCUUUUUUAUAAUAAACAUUAAUUUAUGAAUAUUAAUGAUCCAGUUUUACUGAUUAUAAGAUUAAGUUACCUUAGGGAUAACAGCGUAAUUUUUUUAGAGAGUUCAUAUCGAUAAAAAAGUUUGCGACCUCGAUGUUGGAUUAAAGAUUAUUUUAGGUGUAGAAGCUUAAUAAUUUUGGUCUGUUCGACCAUUAAAUCUUUACAUGAUCUGAGUUCAGACCGGCGUAAGCCAGGUCGGUUUCUAUCUUUAAUAAAACAAAAUAUUUUAGUACGAAAGGACCAAAUAUUUGAUAUAUUUAUAUUUAAUUCAUUGAAUAUUA
rnacentral:rRNA from 1 species